AAAUGGAUAGCUCAGUUGGUUAGAGUGUGGUGUUGAUAAUGCCAAGGCUGCAGGUUCAAUCCAGCUGCAUAUUCCUGCAUUGGUUG